ACUUCUUUGAUGUGGAUCAGUUAUUCCAAGCACAGCAAAGGGUUUGUGAAGACAAAUCUUUCAGGAAAGCACUGAGCCUCAGAAGGCACCCACUUGAACUGAGACCCUUGUCUCAUGGAGCUGAAGUACUUGUCUUGGGACCACAACCUCCAACCUGGGAGAGUGCACCCAACAGCAAAGCAUUGCAAGACAUAAACCACAGACAAGCUCUAGGUGCUGGCUAAGCUGGAAAAAAUCUCAGGAGCUUACAUAUCAGAACUCUGAUACAUUGUUAGUAUUGAAAAAUAUCAAAAUAAAGUCCUACUUCUUAUAUUCAAGAAAGGAUAUCAAAGAGAUAUUAAUUUGUUUUUUAAAUGACAUCUCACAUUGAAGAGCUAUAUUUUUAUUUGACCAAAUUAUGUUUUAUCCCUAUUUUGUU
rnacentral:lncRNA from 1 species